rfam:Gossypium hirsutum cultivar TM-1 unplaced genomic scaffold scaffold1271.1, whole genome shotgun sequence
UGUUAAAAUUUUUAUUCAUUUGUACUGUUAAAAACUGACACAACUAGAAGAAUAACAAGAUAAUGACACGUAAAAUACCACGUAUACCUCUUGAUGUAUAGGGACAAGUUUUUAACAAUAAAAAUAAAUAAAAAUUUUAAUA